AUUGAACGCUGGCGGCAGGCCUAACACAUGCAAGUCGAACGAGUGGCGGACGGGUGAGUAAUGUCUGGGAAACUGCCUGAUGGAGGGGGAUAACUACUGGAAACGGUAGCUAAUACCGCAUACCAUCGGAUGUGCCCAGAUGGUAUUUGCUAGUAGGUGGGGUAAAGGCUCACCUAGGAGACGACCCCUCGCUGGUCUGUGAGGAUGGCCAGCCACCCUGGAACUGAGACACGGUCCAGACUCCUACGGUAGGCAGCAGUGGGUAAUAUUGCACAAUGGGCGCAAGCCGGAUGCAGCCAUGCCGCGUGUAUGAAGAAGGCCUUCGGGUUGUAAAGUACUUUCAGCGGGGAGGCGUGACCCGCAGAAGAAGCACCGGCUAACUCCGUGCCAGCCGCCGCGGUAAUUG
rnacentral:rRNA from 1 species